UUGUACACACCGCCCGUCGCUACUACCGAUUGAAUGGCUCAGUGAGGCUUUCGGACUGGCCUAGGGAGAGUGGCAACACUCACCCAGGGCCGGAAAGUUGUCCAAACUUGGUCAUUUAGAGG
rnacentral:rRNA from 1 species